rnacentral:lncRNA from 1 species
UGGCAAAAUGAAACAUUUGAAGAUCGUUCAAAGAAAAUUUAAGAAUGGUUUUAGAGAAGGUGUUCAAGCCAAAUCGAAGAAAAGUCGUAUUGCUGCCCCAGCACCUGCUUCAAGUUAAAUGUUUCUGUGAAGUAAUUAAAAACUUCAAAAUAUAUAACAUCGUUUGUGUUUGUUACUGUAUAUUGUUGAUAUAUUUUCGUCUGAUGAAACAGUCGUCUUGGUGUGAGCACAAACUAGUUAAAAUAGUGUGAAAGAAUUAACUGCCAAUCAUUCUGGUUAUUUUUCUGUUAGUUCGUUUAACUUAAGACGUCUUGACAGAUGGGCCGCAUUUAUACAAAUGACGAACUAUAUAUUUCUUUGUACAAGUUAGUCUAGACCAUAGAUAUCUCAUAUACACUAGAUAGCGCAUCCCACCCUGUAGGCAGGCGAAAAUUGAAGCCUGAUCGCAGUCGCAGUUUACGUGCGGCGGC